rnacentral:rRNA from 1 species
AUUGAACGCUGGCGGCAUAGCCUUACACAUAGCAAGUCGAACGGCCAGCACGGGGGCAACCCUGGGUGGCGAGUGGCGAACGGGUGAGUAAUGCAUCGGAACGUGCCCAGUAGUGGGGGAUAACUAGUCGAAAGAUUAGCUAAUACCGCAUACGACCUAUGGGUGAAAGCGGGGGAUUCGCAAGAAACCUCGCGCUAUCGGAGCGGCCGAUGUCUGAUUAGCUAGUUGGCGGGGUAAAGGCCCACCAAGGCUUCGAUCAGUAGCUGGUCUGAGAGGACGACCAGCCACACUGGGACUGAGACACGGCCCAGACUCCUACGGGA